rnacentral:tRNA from 1 species
GUCUCUGUAGCGCAAUGGAUAGCGUUUUGGACUUCUAAUCCAAAGGUCGUCAGUUCGAAUCUUACCUGGGAUA